AUGUAUAUAAAGACAGAUAUUAUUGUUUCUUUUGGCAAGAUUUUAAGGCCCUUGUUGACAGUGUACCCCGUAGAGAAAUUUGUUCAGGUGGAUGGCAACGGUAGAGAAAUAGUAUUACAGUGGAAAUUUAUAGUACAAUUAUGUACUUCUGUUUGCUUCUCACUCUUUUGUUCUGCGUAUGAUCUUCACAAAAGUAUUGCUCUUUUGGUAGUGGUAACAAAAUUCAUGUUUCUCCAGCCUUCAGGUUUUGAAUUCAGUUCAAGUUGGCAACCCAGCCGCAAAAACUGUUCCAGGUGUACUUAUUUUAUGCCCAAAAGAAUGCAAAAUGCUAACGUAUACAAACAUGGAGUGCCGUAA
rnacentral:rRNA from 1 species